GAUGAACGCUGGCGGCGUGCCUAAUACAUGCAAGUCGAGCGAACAGACGAGGAGCUUGCUCCUCUGACGUUAGCGGCGGACGGGUGAGUAACACGUGGAUAACCUACCUAUAAGACUGGGAUAACUUCGGGAAACCGGAGCUAAUACCGGAUAAUAUAUUGAACCGCAUGGUUCAAUAGUGAAAUACGGUUUUGCUGUCACUUAUAGAUGGAUCCGCGCCGCAUUAGCUAGUUGGUAGGGUAACGGCUUACCAAGGCAACGAUGCGUAGCCGACCUGAGAGGGUGAUCGGCCACACUGGAACUGAGACACGGUCCAGACUCCUACGGGAGGCAGCAGUAGGGAAUCUUCCGCAAUGGGCGAAAGCCUGACGGAGCAACGCCGCGUGAGUGAUGAAGGUCUUCGGAUCGUAAAACUCUGUUAUUAGGGAAGAACAAAUGUGUAAGUAACUAUGCACGUCUUGACGGUACCUAAUCAGAAAGCCACGGCUAACUACGUG
rnacentral:rRNA from 1 species